rnacentral:rRNA from 1 species
AUUGAACGCUGGCGGCAUGCCUUACACAUGCAAGUCGAACGGCAGCGGGCCCUUCGGGGUGCCGGCGAGUGGCGAACGGGUGAGUAAUGCAUCGGAACGUACCCGGGAGAGGGGGAUAACCGGCCGAAAGGCUGGCUAAUACCGCAUGAACUCGGAAGAGCAAAGCGGGGGACCUUCGGGCCUCGCGCUCUCGGAGCGGCCGAUGUCCGAUUAGGCCAGUUGGUGGGGUAAAGGCCCACCAAGGCGACGAUCGGUAGCGGGUCUGAGAGGACGAUCCGCCACACUGGGACUGAGACACGGCCCAGACUCCUACGGGAGGCAGCAGUGGGGAAUCUUGGACAAUGGGCGCAAGCCUGAUCCAGCAAUGCCGCGUGGGUGAAGAAGGCCUUCGGGUUGUAAAGCCCUUUCGGCGGGGAAGAAAUCGGUCAGGCGAAUAGUCUGGCCGGAUGACGGUACCCGCAGAAGAAGCACCGGCUAACUACGUG